rnacentral:rRNA from 1 species
UGGGGAAUAUUGGACACUGGGGGGAACCCUGAUCCAGCCAUGCCGCGUGUGUGAAGAAGGCCUUAUGGUUGUAAAGCACUUUAAGCGAGGAGGAGGGUACUGGUAUUAAUACUACCAGCUACUGGACGUUACUCGCAGAAUAAGCACCGGCUAACUCUGUGCCAGCAGCCGCGGUAAUACAGAGGGUGCGAGCGUUAAUCGGAAUUACUGGGCGUAAAGCGCGCGUAGGUGGUUCGUUAAGUUGAAUGUGAAAGCCCCGGGCUCAACCUGGGAACUGCAUCCAAAACUGGCGAGCUAGAGUAGGGCAGAUGGUGGUGGAAUUUCCUGUGUAGCGGUGAAAUGCGUAGAUAUAGGAAGGAACACCAGUGGCGAAGGCGACCACCUGGGCUCAUACUGACACUGAGGUGCGAAGGCGUGGGGAGCAAACAGG